rnacentral:rRNA from 1 species
GAUGAACGCUAGCGACAGGCCUAACACAUGCAAGUCGAGGGGCAGCACAUGAGUAGCAAUACGAUGGUGGCGACCGGCGCACGGGUGAGUAACACGUAUGCAACCUGCCUUCUACUAUGGGAUAACCCGUUGAAAGACGGACUAAUACCGUAUAAUACAGGGGCUCCGCAUGGAGAUAUUUGUUAAAGAUUUAUUGGGAGAAAAUGGGCAUGCGUAUGAUUAGAUAGUUGGUGAGGUAACGGCUCACCAAGUCAACGAUCAUUAGGGGUUCUGAGAGGAAGGUCCCCCCCCAUGGUACUGAGACACGGGACAGACUCCUACGGGAGGCAGCAGUGGGGAAUAUUGGUCAAUGGACGAGAGUCUGAACCAGCCAAGUCGCGUGAAGGAAGACGGUUCUAUGAAUUGUAAACUUCUUUUGUGCAGGAAUAAAGUGGGUUACGUGUAACCUUUUGUAUGUACUGUACGAAUAAGGAUCGGCUAACUCCGUGCCAGCAGCCGCGGUAA